UACGUAGGGAGCGAGCGUUGUCCGGAAUUACUGGGUAUAAAGGGAGCGUAGGCGGGUUUAUAAGUCGGGUGUGAAAUUUAUGGGCUCAACCCAUAAACUGCAUUCGAAACUAUAGAUCUUGAGUGGAGUAGAGGCAGGCGGAAUUCCUAGUGUAGCGGUGAAAUGCGUAGAUAUUAGGAGGAACACCAGUGGCGAAGGCGGCCUGCUGGGCUUUAACUGACGCUGAGGCUCGAAAGCAUGGGUAGCAAAC
rnacentral:rRNA from 1 species